CCAUCAGUUGCUCAGAAUCGGGAGCUGUCGUAGCUGGCUGUAAUUGCAGAGACGAGCUGCGGCAAUUACGGCACCUGCUGCACCCUCAUCCAAGCAGGUGGAAGAAUUGAUGAGGAGCGUUUUUGGUUUUCCAGCCUCCCGCAGGGGUUUCGCAGAGGUGGCCUGGGGCAUGCUACAAAGGGAAGGCUGAGCUACUGGGGGAAAAAGGCUCGGUCAUGACAACGGCAGAGCUCUCCAACUGGCAAGUGAACUUCUCUCUCACAGUAUGGGAAGAGAUAAUGCCCUGGUUUAUGAACGGGGAGAAUCAGUCAGACAUUGCCACGGUCGUACCAAGAAUGCGGACCGUUUGUUUGAUAUAGUGUAUGAUUAAGGGACACGACAGGGAUAUCUAGAAACCAUCAUGUAGGCAGCUAACCAUCCAUCUUGCUGACUUGUGUGCGCAGCAAAUUACAGAGCCCAGCUUGCGUGUGUUUGUGCGCUCACAGAAGCCUCGGAGCUGGGCGCAUUCGGUUCUGAGGGCUGGUCUGAAAAGGUGCAGAAGGGGAGAACAACCCUGUGGGCAAGCUGUGCCAGAGCAGAAUGUUCCUGGGGAAGUGGUGCCUCAGGGUCUUACACAGGGACAUGCCCACGGGGCCCUUGAUGUCCCCGGAGGAGCUGGUCUCAGCUGGCCAAGGGUGCCAUCUGG